rnacentral:tRNA from 2 species
GGGUAGGUGGCCGAGUGGCUAAAGGCGGCAGACUGUAAAUCUGUUCUCAUUCGAGUACGAAGGUUCGAAUCCUUCCCUGCCCACCA